GAAGCUGCGGCAGCGACGCUGAUGCGUUGUUGGGUAGGGGAGCGUUCUGUAAGCCUGUGAAGGUGUACUGUGAGGUAUGCUGGAGGUAUCAGAAGUGCGAAUGCUGACAUAAGUAACGAUAAAGCGGGUGAAAAGCCCGCUCGCCGGAAGACCAAGGGUUCCUGUCCAACGUUAAUCGGGGCAGGGUGAGUCGACCCCUAAGGCGAGGCCGAAAGGCGUAGUCGAUGGGAAACAGGUUAAUAUUCCUGUACUUGGUGUUACUGCGAAGGGGGGACGGAGAAGGCUAUGUUGGCCGGGCGACGGUUGUCCCGGUUUAAGCGUGUAGGCUGGUUUUCCAGGCAAAUCCGGAAAAUCAAGGCUGAGGCGUGAUGACGAGGCACUACGGUGCUGAAGCAACAAAUGCCCUGCUUCCAGGAAAAGCCUCUAAGCAUCAGGUAACAUCAAAUCGUACCCCAAACCGACACAGGUGGUCAGGUAGAGAAUACCAAGGCGCUUGAGAGAACUCGGGUGAAGGAACUAGGCAAAAUGGUGCCGUAACUUCGGGAGAAGGCACGCUGAUAUGUAGGUGAAGUCCCUCGCGGAUGGAGCUGAAAUCAGUCGAA
rnacentral:rRNA from 1 species